rnacentral:rRNA from 1 species
UACGGGGGGGGCAAGCGUUGUUCGGAAUUACUGGGCGUAAAGGGCGCGUAGGCGGCCAACUAAGUCCGACGUGAAAUCCCCAGGCUUAACCUGGGAACUGCGUCGGAUACUGGAUGGCUUGAAUUCGGGAGAGGGAUGCAGAAUUCCAGGUGUAGCGGUGAAAUGCGUAGAUAUCAGGAGGAACACCGGUGGCGAAGACGGCUCUCUGGACCGUAACUGACGCUGAGACACGAAAGCGUGGGUAGCAAACAGG